rnacentral:tRNA from 1 species
GAGCUCAGUUGGUAGAGUAGGAGACUCUCAACCUCGGGGUUGUGGGUUUGAGCCCCACAUUGGACA